UCACGCAGCACCUCCAGGCCUCAGCAGUGUGCCUGCUAAUGAAGCACGACGGCUUGAGGAAAUCAGCUGCCUUAGGACUGGCUCUUCCCAGCACAGCACAGGAACUCUGAUCCUAUUUACAUACAGCAGUGCCCGGUGGUAAGAGUGAUCAGCAGGAGGAACACCGGGACCUCCUUUACUUUGGGUGCAUGUGGAAGCUGAUUUGCUAUUGAGCCUUGUCUGCCUUUAUUUAGCUCACAAAGAACAGGUUUCUAUUUUCUAUUAUUAGCUUCAAUACUCUGGAGCAGCAAUACUGGUUGCUGUUCAUGUUACAUGCAAUUUUCAUGUUACAACAGAAGUGAGAGAUUGUGACGCCUGGGAUGGGAUAAUUAUGUCUGCAGUUAGCAACACCACGAGAACAGCAUUCUAAAUAAAUCCAUAGAAAGAUUAUUUAUCAUGGUACAGCCUAAAUAAAGCACAGCAGAAGAAUCCACGCUGAAAGCACUUACAAACACACCUCCCUCGGAUGGAGCUCGCUUCAGGCACGAAUGGAACAGGCUGUGUGGGACCUGCAGGAAUCCCAGCUGAUCCCCAGUCCAGGGCUUGCCCUCAACACGUCAGCGCAGACAGCUUUGGAAGAACCAAAUUUGUUUCCUACCCCUUAUAAACGAGCCCUCAAGAACGUCUACUGGGCAAAGAGGGAACACCGCUGAGAACUGGAACCAUGGCUGCUAAAAUGGGAUGGGAUGGCCUCCUCUUAACACACAACUUCUCUGCAGAGCUGAUGCCACCUGCAUUGAAGCCCGCCUUUAAAAUGACAGAAGCCUAUGAUAACAUGAAUAGCCCUUAAAAAAACAAGAUGAAACUUCAAGGAGCAGAAAGCAAAAUUACUGCAAGAAACUGAAUUCCCAGAAGUGAUGAUAUGAUAGUUUUCUUCAUUACAUCAAAGAGCUGAAGGUAUAGAGUUCGCUCUUAAAAUACCACUCUAGGACUAGAGUCCUUCAGAGGUGAAUUAUAUCCAUCUGUUAUUAAAUGAAAGGUAAACCUGAACUUCGAAGGAAGGCAAAGAGAAAUUAUUUCAUUACAGAUGUGGAGCAGCGUCCAUGAAUCUGACACAACACUGAGCUGUUGAGGCUGUAUCUAUGCAUUAGUCUAUCUAAAUCAGAACCUUUUCCAUCUGAGCAGCAAGAUUCUGAGGGACUGGACCAUCUUUUAUUAAAUUAUAGCUGCUGCUAUCAAGUACAUUUUUACAAAAUUAUAAAAAAUACUACAAAUAUUUUAAAAUACCAGCAAGUCACCUAUUUGAUGGACAUUUAUUAUAAUGAUGAGAUCUUUGGUUGUUUUUACAUAGCUGGUCUCUAACCACCUGAGUCAUGUGUACUUUCAGGAAUUUAUACUGAAAUAAAAGAUCCCUCUCUGUU